UGUAUUUAUAUAUCACUCUUCAUAUCCCGAAGUCCUAUGCAGUAUUGCUAUCAGAUAAUAUGGCAUUACUAGGAGAGAGACUCUCCAUAUUCAGAACAUACAGCACUGAGCCAACAUUAUUAGAAUGGCUUUGGGAAUACCACACAGCUGCUUACUGAGGGUGAAUAAUCAAGAUGUUCAAACGUUAGAAAGUUCGUUAACGAAGAUUUCUACCAGGACAGAGGAGUUGAGAAAUCUUUUAUAUUCCAGAGAGGUUUCAUGUUUCUUCCUUGUGUCAAGAGAUUUGUUCAUGAGCCGACCUGAGUUCUGAGAUGCAUGUUGCUAUGAU